rnacentral:lncRNA from 1 species
GGCGCGGGCGCGGCGCAGGUCGCGGUGGCUCGCGUCCAGCAGCCUCUGGUCGCCGGUGUAGGAGUGGGUGGUGGUCAUGGUGCCCUUGAUGAUGCCUUGAUCCAUGCAUAUAUAUAUAUAUAUAUAUAUAUACACCGUUAUUAUAGGUUUGUCCGAUUUGCAAUAAUCACAAGGAGGGAGCAUCAAGUUUGCGGCGCUCGACUCGAGUUGAGUGAAGAAGAUCGAUACGCACCGAACUUUUGGUCGAGCACCUUGACGAAUGGCGCGAGGCAGUUGGUGGUGCAGGAGGCGUUGCUGAUGAUGGGCUCGUCGGGGUUGUACUGGUCGGCAUUGACGCCGACGACGUAGGUGGGGAUGUCGCCCUUGCCGGGCGCCGUGAUGAGCACCUUCUUGGCCCCCGCCUGGAUGUGCUUCCCCGCGCCCUCGCGGUCGACGAAGACGCCGGUGCCCUCGAUGACGAGGUCGAUGCCGAGCUCGCCCCACGGCAGGUUGCUGGGGUUGCGGUCGGACACGACCUUGAUGACCUUGCCGUCGACGGAGAUGGCGUUGUCGCCGACGGGCUUGACGUCGGCGUCGAAGAUGCCGAGCGUGGAGUCGUACUUGAGCAGGUGGGACGCCUGCUUGACACCGCCGGUGUCGUUGAUGGCGAUGACGUCGAGGGGCGAGGCGUCGCCGCGCCCGUGCCAGCACCGCAGGAAGUUGCGCCCGAUGCGGCCGAACCCGUUGAUGGCCACCUUCAGCUUCGCCUCCGUCGGCGCCCGCCGCGACCCGCCGCUCGUGCCGACCUGGUUGUUGAUGUGAUGCACGAGCGAGCGAGCGAGCAAGCCAGGCAGCAGCAGCGCAUACACACACGUGUGAAUCCCCAAAGCCGGCCGUACGUGCAAUACGAUACAAAGCUACUUUCCUACGCGGCUGCAUGAGGGUGGAUCGAUCGGCCGGGGCAGGCACGUACCGCGUGGGUCCUGAAGGAGACGGCGGACAUGAAGUCGUCGGAGGUGGCAUUCCGGCGCAUGGGCAGCGACGCGGAGCUCCUGAGCCCGGAGAACUCGGACAGGCCGCCCCCCUGGAGUACAACAUCAAAGAACCAUCACUACUCGCUUGUCCGGUGGAGCAGCUAGAGUGCAAGCAAACCAUUGAUCCUACGUAGCAGCACGGGUGGAGAGAGAGACGCGGCACGAGAGGCAUACCUGCUGGAGUGGCACGGUGGUAGCGGAGAGCAUGGACGACGCCAUGGCCACGGACCAGAGGAUCAAGACAAGAUGACGAUGCUAGCCAACAAGCGGGCGCGUAUAUACGAUACGAGUUGGCGGAUUGGGGGCGCGCGCGUUUGUGGUGCGCGUGGCCGCGAUCGGGGAUCGUGAGGUCGGGAUUCGGGGAGGGAUCAGAUUUCGGAUAGCAUGGCCGACGAAUGGCUGUCGAUGGCCGCCCUCCUGCGCGAUCAACGUGUGGCCCAUUUUCCGUGCCCGCCCGCCCGCCCCUCCCCUGUUACGGCUUGUCGGGUCAUGCCUUGUGCAAUGGAUCGCGGAGAUCAAUCGAUCGUUCUGGAUGGGGGGUCGAGUUCGACGUGGUAUGCAAAAGACGGGUCGACGCCUGGGAGGCUGGGACACGGUACAAACGAGCAGAUCAGAUUCAGCAGCAAAGACAUCAAAGAACACCGGGGGGCUAGUGCGCCGGUUAGCUAGGUUACUGAUCCUAGGAGUCAAAACCGGAGUGGUUGAAAUUCAGUUUGAUAAGCUGCCUUUCUACUGUUACUCGUGUGGUAAGAUGCAUGCAACACAUGGAGCUGGAGUCUCCUCCAACCUCGGCACCUAGAAAUGCUCUGGGCAGACUCCCAUCCCAUAUGAUCUUAAGCUUCGAGCACCAUAGGAUAGGAAGAAGAAAUCGUAGAGCUUUGGUCUUUGGCCACGGGGCGGAGAGGAGUCCUUUGGCAGCUCCACGGGGACUCGUAGGUCGGAGCCGUCACGAGAUUAACUCCACCUGACACUCAACAAGUGGCCUGGAGAGAGGAGAUGUUGCUGAUCGAUGAGAUAGAGGUUGUUGGUUUGAUCCCAUGUGACACAUGUACCGAUGAUAAGCUUUGUGAGGAAUUUAGUUGGGUCAUGACAAAUAGGUUUGAAAUGUCUAUGAUGUAUGAGCUCAAGUUCUUUCUAAGGUUUCAAGUGAAACAGUAAAGGAAAGAACUUUUAUGUGCCAGACCAAGUACACACAAGACAUGUUGAAGAAGUUUGGCACGAAAAAGGUGAAGCCUACCAAGAUUACAAUGGCUUCAAAUGGUCAUCUCGGCCUAAAUGAAGAAGGUAAAUAUGUCAAUCAAAAGCUCUAUAGAUCCAUGAUAGGUUCACUACUUUACAUAUGUUCAUCUAGACCUGACAUAAUGUUAAGUGUGUGCAUGUGUGUUCGCUUUUAAGUUAACCCGAAAGAGUGUCAUUUAGUUGCUGUUAAGAUAAUCUUAAUAUAUCUAGUUCACACCCAAAACUAGGACUUUGGUAUCCUAAAGGCUUCUUUUUCGAUUUACUUGGCUACUCUGACUCAGAUUCUGCCGGUUGCAAAGUAGAUCGAAAAAACACCACGGAGACUUGCCAAUUCUUUGGAUAGUCCUUGGUGUCAUGGAGUUCUAAGAAACAAAAUUGUGUUGCACUCGCUCUACAGAAGCUGAGUACAUAUCAGCUAGUGCAUGUUGUGCCCAGUUGCUAUCGAAAAAACACCACGAGGACUUUGGUUGCGAGUUUAAUAGAAUUCUGCUACUUUGUGACAAUGAGAGUGACAUUAAACUUGCAAACUAUCCCGUGCGACACUCUAAAACUAAACACAUUGAUAUUAGACAUCAUUUAUUGAGAGACCACAAAGCCAAAGGAGAUAUUGAAUUAUGUUAUGUAAAGACCAAAAAUCAACUAGCUGAUAUAUUCACCAAACCUCAUGGUGAGACUAGAUUUUUCUUUCUUAGGAGUGAACUAAAUAUUUUAGAUUCUCGUAACGUCUCUUGAAGGCUUGCACACAAAAUUGUUUGAGAUAGAUUGUAUGUUUGGUUGAAUUUUAAAACUAUAUAAAAACAUAUAUUUCUAUCUAUAAAUCCCUAACUUUGAUUGAGAAUGGCAUAAUAAUUGCCAUAUAAAAAUCUCAAUCUUCUUGAAGUUCACUGGUGAAAACCAGUUGAACUUUAGUUCAAUCUAGUUGAGCUUCAGCACAACUAGGGUCAGCUGAGUUCUUCUCUGGCCAAAACUGGUUCAGCUGGCCCCUAGGGGUGGUUCAACAUGCCCCUGGACAAAGUCAACUGACAACUUUUCUGACUCACUUGCUCUGCUCCUGUCAGCUUGCCCUGCUGCCAGUCUAACAAUUAGGCAUCUCUGACAGGAGGCGGUUGAAUUGGCCCUGACCCCCGGUACAACCGGUUUCUACUAGUGGUGCCCAGGGUUUUUAUCCCGCGCCCCCUCUUCUCUCUCCCCCCACUUCAACUCCUCCAGCCUAGUCGCCUCUAGACCUGAGCCCUCUCUCUUUUCUAUCUUUUUCCCCUCAAAAUCCCUCAAAUCCACCCACUCAAAUCUCUUGAAACUUGGAGGGAUUACUCCUAGGGAGAUCCUCCUCCAUUUCCACCACUUUGGUUGCAAUUCAUCGUCCAGAUUCUUAGAUCAAGGUAACUCUCCAUUUUUACUCUUUUGCCCCGAUCUAUGUUUGUAUGCAUAUGGAACACUUUCUUGAAGAAGUUUAGCCUUGUUGUAUGCAUUUGUUAAGGUAGAUUAUGUGUUGUGUUCAUAUCCAGUUGAACUAUUCAUAUGAACGGUUGAACUGACCCUGCCACUCACACCUCCUUUGCAUAUGAUGUUUCAUACCUUGAACAAUUCCAUCUCAUACUUUGUUUAUUCAUCUAUUUCAAGAUGGUUCAUGUGACGGAACCUCCCAAGUCAUUAGGCUCACCUACAGUUGUCCUUGUCCAACGGACCUCAGACAACCCUGCAGGUGCCCCCGAA